rnacentral:rRNA from 1 species
UACGUAGGGACCAAGCGUUGUCCGGAAUCAUUGGGCGUAAAGAGCGUGUAGGCGGCUUGUUAAGUCUUGCGUGAAAUCUCGGGGCUCAACCCCGAGCGGUCGUGAGAAACUGGCAGGCUAGAGUGCGGGAGAGGAGAGUGGAAUUCCUGGUGUAGCGGUGAAAUGCGCAGAUAUCAGGAAGAACACCCGUGGCGAAGGCGGCUCUCUGGAACGCAACUGAUGCUGAGACGCGAAAGCGUGGGGAGCAAACAGG